GACGAACGCUGGCGGCGUGCCUAACACAUGCAAGUCGAACGGAGUUCAUUGGAUUGAGGCUUCGGCCAAAUGAAUUUGAACUUAGUGGCGAACGGGUGAGUAACGCGUGAGCAACCCUGCCUUUCAGGAGGGGGACAACAGUUGGAAACGACUGCUAAUACCGCAUAACACAUCGAGAGGGCAUCCUCUUGAUGUCAAAGAUUUAUCGCUGAAAGAUGGGCUCGCGUCUGAUUAGAUAGUUGGUGAGGUAACGGCUCACCAAGUCGACGAUCAGUAGCCGGACUGAGAGGUUGAACGGCCACAUUGGGACUGAGAUACGGCCCAGACUCCUACGGGAGGCAGCAGUGGGGAAUAUUGCACAAUGGAGGAAACUCUGAUGCAGACGUAUGCCGCGUGAGGGAAGAGGUUUCGG
rnacentral:rRNA from 1 species